AAAACAAAAACCACCAAAAAAAAACUGCCAAAGUAUAGGUUAUAGAAGAGCAGACUUACUUGGUGUUUGCAAGAAAGACAAAGAGAUUUAGAGUUUCCAUCAAGUUUGUUGUGAGUUACUAGGAGGUAGUGCCAGAGAAGCAACAUGGCAUUAGGCUGCAUGGGUAGAAGUAUAGUACUGAGAACACGGGAGAGCAUCGGUUUUGUUGUACUUGGGACUAAACAUUCUGAGGGUCCUGGACGUUUUAUGAGAGGCUUUGGUAAACUGAAGAGUGAUGUAGGUACAGAUGCACAGAUGUAGAACAGUGCCCCUGCGCCAGCCCAGCAUCAAUACUUUUUUUAAAAAGUGCCCUGUAUUUUCCUCAUGCCCUGGAGAUAAUGGAGCCGUCUUUUACUCACUGCCCACUUCUCAUCUCUGUCUGCUCCUGCUUCCUCUUGUUGGCUUCCUGUGCCUCCCUCCAACCUUCUCCUACCCCCCUGCAGUGUUUUAAACUCUCUUUUCUUCUUAAUUUCUGUUCGCCUCAACCAACCCUAAAGUGCUCUUGUACUCACAGUUAGGCUUUUAUAAUUGCUUGAUCAGUUUAUCAGUCAAUUUCAGUAUUUUGUUGAGCUUUGACAAAGAUUUUUAUUCUAAUUCUAUGGAGCCCAUGUAAUAAUUGUUUUUUCAGCUUCUGCUUGUGACUUCUCUACUUCAAAAAAUGUACGUGCUUGUUUCUGCCAGUUACAUCCCAUGUUUCAUUGGAUGUGUGUACUGUGUUCACAUCGAGUUGGCCCCACCGCUGAGUGGGUUAUUGAUGAUCUCAAGAGUCCAGUAGAAAUGAAGGGUAGAAACUUAGCCACAUCCUGGUUUGUGUUUUGCCUAACAGAGGGGUUUCACUUUCCUCUUUGGUAAGAUGAAUAUGCUUGAUAAUAGAAUAGCAUUAAGGUUGGCUUUUUUCUCCCUCAAAUGAUUAAACUGUAGUUUCAUAUGUAAAUGCCAGUAAAUUAGAAUCAUUCUAGUAGGGAAGAUAAAGUAAAUAAGUAAAAAUAUAGUAUGUUAGUAGGAAAUCGUGCUAGAGAGAGAGAGCUCAAGCAGGACAGGAGGGGCCUAGAGAUUGCUUGGGAUUUGAUGAAGAGACAGGACUGUUUUAGAGAGGCUGCUCACGGCAGUGCCUCUGAGCAGGUAGCACUGGAGCCGAUCCUCUGCUGCGAUGAGGUGGCAAGCCAAGAACAUCAUGAGGGAGGGAAGGGCAGUCCCAGAAGAGAGAGCACAGUGCAGGUGCCAGGUGGGGACCACGGGACACUGGAACUGCCUUGGUGUGUUUAUUUCCAAAUAGUGUCUGGCAUUACACUGAGAUGAGGAGACUUUUUUGUUUUUCAUUUUUUGUUUUUUUUUCCCGGGGUAGGGGUGCAUAUUGGAUUUCUUCAGGAGAUUCAGCCUCUUGAAAAAUAUGAAAUAUAGACAAGUAUAUAUACAUAAAGAUAUAUUUGAGUAUUUUAAACUUUAUAUAGCCAAGUAUCUUAAACUCUGCACACUUGAAUUUUUAAUCCUCGUGUAUAUCCAUUAUGAUUAUUUCUAUUAGUUCCAGUUUGAGGUUGGUGAUGAUAUUGUCAUAGAAGCUUUGUCAGGCUUCACAUUGUAGCAGCUGGUCUUGAAGGUGGGGCAUAUCCUUGUUCAAUGUGACUACUUUAGUUGCCUGUCCAAUAUGAAGUAGAAAAGCAGAUUUCUGGAUUACAGUAUUUGUCAACAUAGAAUUUGCCGAUUU
rnacentral:lncRNA from 10 species